UCGUAUAGAGGGAGUAGAGGAUAGGA
rnacentral:sRNA from 1 species